rnacentral:tRNA from 1 species
GUGGCUAUGGUCUAGCAGUCUAAGACUCUGGGUUGUGAACUCGGAAACGUGGGCGCGAAUCCCACUAGCCACCCCA